GCCGGGCGGGGUGGUGCGUGCCUGUAAUCCCAACUACUCUGGAGGCCGAGGCAGGAGAAUCGCUUGAACCCGGGAGGCAGAGGUUGCAGUGAGCGGAGAUCUGUGCCACUGCACUCCAGCCUGGGUGACAGAGUGAGACUCUGUCUCAA
ensembl:misc_RNA Metazoa_SRP Metazoan signal recognition particle RNA